rnacentral:rRNA from 1 species
GGGUUUGAUCAUGGCUCAGGACGAACGCUGGCGGCGUGCUUAACACAUGCAAGUCGAACGAUGAAAGCAGGAGCUUGCUUCUGCUGGAUUAGUGGCGAACGGGUGAGUAACACGUGAGUAACCUGCCCUUGACUCUGGGAUAAGCGUUGGAAACGACGUCUAAUACCGGAUACGAGCUAGGACCGCAUGGUCACUAGUUGGAAAGAACUUUGGUCAAGGAUGGACUCGCGGCCUAUCAGCUAGUUGGUGAGGUAACGGCCCACCAAGGCGACGACGGGUAGCCGGCCUGAGAGGGUGACCGGCCACACUGGGACUGAGACACGGCCCAGACUCCUACGGGAGGCAGCAGUGGGGAAUAUUGCACAAUGGGCGAAAGCCUGAUGCAGCAACGCCGCGUGAGGGACGACGGCCUUCGGGUUGUAAACCUCUUUUAGCAGGGAAGAAGCGAAAGUGACGGUACCUGCAGAAAAAGCACCGGCUAACUACGUGC